GUGACGGAGGGUCUGAGGGAAGGUGUCAGACUGAGAGCGAUGGACUCUCCGUGUCAGAGGCAGAGGCAACGUCUGGUGAGGAGCCACAGGGGAACAUUGAACAACAGAUGGAAACCAGGCUGAGGUAUCACGUGUUGAAAGCCACAGAUGCAAAUUCACCCACCGACAGAACUGAGA